rnacentral:rRNA from 1 species
UACGAACUGUGCGAACGUUAUUCGGAAUCACUGGGCUUAAAGGGUGCGUAGGCGGUUAUCUAAGUCAGGUGUGAAAUCUCUCGGCUCAACCGGGAAACUGCGCUUGAAACUGGAUGACUGGAGGGAUGCAGGGGUGUGUGGAACUUCCGGUGGAGCGGUGAAAUGUGUAGAUAUCGGAAGGAACGCCAGCAGCGAAAGCGGCACACUGGGCAUCUACUGACGCUGAGGCACGAAAGCUAGGGGAGUGAACGGGAUUAGAAACCCGUGUAGU